GGUAACAUUUCUAGCUUGCUAGAAGAUGACGAGUGGCGGACGGGUGAGUAAUGCUUGGGAACUUGCCUUUAGGAGGGGGAUAACAGUUGGAAACGACUGCUAAUACCGCAUAAUGUCUACGGACCAAAGGGGGCUUCGGCUCUCACCUAAAGAGAGGCCCAAGUGAGAUUAGCUAGUUGGUAAGGUAAAGGCUUACCAAGGCGACGAUCUCUAGCUGUUCUGAGAGGAAGAUCAGCCACACUGGGACUGAGACACGGCCCAGACUCCUACGGGAGGCAGCAGUGGGGAAUAUUGCACAAUGGGGGAAACCCUGAUGCAGCCAUGCCGCGUGUGUGAAGAAGGCCUUCGGGUUGUAAAGCACUUUCAGUUGUGAGGAAAGGUUGGUAGUUAAUACCUGCCAGCUGUGACGUUAACAACAGAAGAAGCACCGGCUAACUCCGUGCCAGCAGCCGCGGUAAUACGGAGGGUGCGAGCGUUAAUCGGAAUUACUGGGCGUAAAGCGCACGCAGGCGGUUUGUUAAGCUAGAUGUGAAAGCCCCGGGCUCAACCUGGGAUGGUCAUUUAGAACUGGCAGACUAGAGUCUUGGAGAGGGGAGUGGAAUUCCAGGUGUAGCGGUGAAAUGCGUAGAUAUCUGGAGGAANAUCAGUGGCGAANNNGGCUCCCUGGCCAAAGACUGACGCUCAUGUGCGAAAGUGUGGGUAGCGAACAGGAUUANAUACCCUGGNAGUCCACACCGUAAACGCUGUCUACUAGCUGNUUGUG
rnacentral:rRNA from 1 species